rnacentral:rRNA from 1 species
AGUACGGUCGCUAGAUUAAAACUCAAAGGAAUAGACGGGGACCCGCACAAGUGGUGGAGCAUGUGGUUUAAUUCGAAUAUACGCGAAGAACCUUACCUAGCCUUGACAUAUAUUAGAACAGACCAGAGAUGGACUGGUGCCUUCGGGAGCUUUUAUACAGGUGCUGCACGGCUGUCGUCAGCUCGUGUCGUGAGAUGUUGGGUUAAGUCCCGCAACGAGCGCAACCCUCGUCACUAGUUACUAACGGUUCCGCCGAGGACUCUAGUGAGACUGCCUUCGUAAGGAGGAGGAAGGUGAGGACGACAUCAAGUCAUCAUGACCCUUACGGCUAGGGCAACACACGUGCUACAAUGGGCAGGACAGUGAGACGCAAUACCGCGAGGUGGAGCAAAUCUAUAAACCUGCUCUCACUUCGCAUUGUGGGCGGGCGACUCGCCUACAUGAAGCUGGAAUCACUUUUAAUCGGAGAUCAGCUGUGGGGGGGGGGAAUUCCUUCCCGGGUCUUGCACACACCCGCCC